CGCCUCGCGGAGGAAGCUUUUUUGCCGCAUAGCUACGCAUGCGCCGUAGGCCUCUCCCCGCCAGGCCCCCGCCAAGGUGUUGGGGGUAGGGAACGAGCUGCACCUUGAGCCACAUUGUCCGCGCCUGCGCGCUGGAUCUCUACCCAACUCUGCCUUAUUUAGCCGCGUUUUAUGGGACCCCCUUUUCCUCCAAGGGGGUCUAAAUGGCUGCCCGCUUCAAGUGCAUCUCUAAACGUUGCAUUUCUGGAAGGAUAUCCUGGAGGCCCUGGCGUUGCUUCUUCCUAGUAGCUUUCUGACUGCCAAAGGUCAAUCCCCCUUCUUUUGGGGACUAGGGCUUGAGAAUGGACUUUAUUUUUUUUUUGCCCUCUUUUUCUAGAAGGAUGGAUUUGAGGGUUUCUCAUUCCCAUAAAGUGUCUGUGGGUUCCUGGCCUGGGACGCUGUGAUGGGCCUCGUUGGAUUUGAGCAGUGCAAGAUGGAAGGCACCCUGAUUAGAGGGCUGGAUUACUGUGGCUUGCACCCGUGUUGUCCUAUUUAACCAAAUAAAGAGGACACGGAAAACUACUCGUUUCCCAGAAUGAUCACCUGCCCUGCUUGUCCUUCAGCCGUGGAUCGAGACAAAGGCCUGUUUCCAAAAGCCUCUGUUUCCUUUUGCGGGGUUAGUGCCUGGAGUAUGUGGCUGCGGUAACCAUAGUAACAGCAGUUACCAUAUCUUGGGAUAGCUUUAUUUUUUCUAAGGAAUGCCAGGGAAAUCGCUUCCCUGUUUGUGACAUAACGAACGUGAACUUUUCCUCCCCCUCCACCUCCAUUAAGGCUUAGCUGAGAAAUAUAGCUUGCCCAUAUUUCUUUGUUUGCACUUCCAUCCCUGAACCAGGAUUGAGAACCAUUUCCCAGCCGCUUGGGAGAAGUGACCUUCUAGUUGGCAAACAGCAUAAACCAGUUUAUGAAAUGGUAUUGUGAUCCCUUCUGUUGAGUUUGACUAAGGAAGAAAUUUGCUGGAGAAAAAUACGGCAAAUCAUCGAGUUUUUAACAAGGAGAUUUGGAGGCAGAUGAAUUUCAGGAGCAGAAAGGUACUAAAGUUUAAAACACAGGCUUUGACUGAACACAUCUGUGUGAAUUAGACAACUGCCGACCGGCAAUAUGUGAAAUAUCUAGUAAUUCUUCUGAACCCCCCCGCCUUGCUUAAACAUUUCAGUACUGCUUAUACCUGUUAUACCAUUUAGCAGCAUUCAGAGAACCAGGGCGUAUGCCUAGUUCAUUUUGCCAACUGCGUUUCCAUAUGCAUGACUGAACUUUCCAAGCCUGCCCAGCAUUCUAAAGCCCAUUGCUAUUCAAUGUAAAAAUAAAGUCGAUUAAAAACAUAGAAAAUACCCCCUUCGCUUAUGGCUCCAUUUUAUUGUCACCACCUCCAAAUCAUGCCUGAAUAUUAAAAUAGGGAAAUGCUUUUCACUCUCCAUUUAUCUUACAUAAAAGAGAUCAGACACUGCUUUCUGACCUCAUUUUCAACGGGCAUCAAUUAUUCAUUUUAAAAAUAAGAUGACUAUAAAAUCAUUAAGGACAAACACACUGGAUUGCAUUUCUCACUUCCUUUGUCUCCAGACAUGCUGUAUUAUAAAUAGGAUCAAGCCUGUAAUAUAAGGAAUUCUACCUUGUAAACAAGGGCAGAAAGAGAGGUUUGCCAAACUUUCCUGUAUAAUUCUGGGAGGAAGGAAGAGCACUGGGAAAUUAAGCUCUUGUUCUGAGCUAUUGCAAAGUACACGAAUUAUUCUAUAGGUUGCCUCAAAAGAAAUGUCAGCAAAAAUGGCUGGGAACUCCAUGGGGCGUAGGGCACCUUUAUUUAGAAGGGACUUUGCUCUGAUAAUAGCUGGGCACCUACAUCUGUUUAAUUUUCUUAAGCGUGUCCUGCAGCUUAUGGUUGCAUUUGUGUUUCUGGUGAAACUAGAGUUGUAAGAUAAGUAGCUCACUAUUUCCAAAUGCUCACUGUAAAAAGAUUUUUUUUCUACCCAGAAAAGUACACCAUAUUUUUUGUGAAGUUUACUGUUUGCUGCAGUAGCCAUUGUAAAGCAGUUAUAAAGGUUUUCCUUGAAUUGCAAUUUCUCCACUUCAAAUUGACCAUAAUAGAAAGUGAACUGUUUCCUUUCAUGGAAAUUUUCUGUAAAGUUCCUUAAGGAGAGUAGGACAGAGGGGCACAUUUGAUCGUACUUAUCCUGGUAAUCUCAAAAUUAUACCUGUUUAGAUGUUUUCUGUAGAUCUUAACUGACUU